CAGUGACGCUCAGCUUGGCCUCGUCUUUCCCUCAUCCGGCAGAUACGCUGCGUCAAAAUGGACUCACCACUCUCUAUUUUUGCCGAUUAAAGUGAGAAAUCAAAUGCGAAUUCUUACUGCGUGCGAGUUUGUUUGAAUGUGGAUAUGCGUAGGAGCGAGAGAGCUGAGAAUUUUAAAUUUUACUUUGUUCAUGGAAAUAUGAAACGCGUUGCAGGAUUUCAAGCUCUCAACCGGAAUCAGCAUCACUGGAGCUUGCUGCGUCAAUGAAUCGUCUACUCCAGUGUCAAUUCAGAAAUGCAAUUCCAGGAAGAGUUAAUUCAUAUGAACAUGUACCACAGGCAGGGCGUGUUGAAUUACCAAUCUAGUCCUCUGCCUUCUUCAAGCUCAUCCUCAUCUUCGAAAAUCAGUCCUGCAAUCCUCUUCAUUAUUGUAAUUAUAGCUGCACUGUUUUUCAUAUCUGGUCUGCUUCACUUGCUGAUUAGAUUCCUUACAAAGAGCCCCUCGCCAUCCCAUCCUAAUCGAAAUAUGACCGCAUCAGGUUCGGACACUCUUCAAAGGCAGCUGCAGCAGCUCUUUCACCUACACGACACAGGUUUGGAGCAAGCUUUUAUAGACGCAUUACCUAUCUUUGAGUAUAAGGAAAUCGUUGGUUUGCAAGAACACUUUGAAUGCGCAGUUUGUUUGUGUGAAUUCAUGGAUGUGGAUAAGCUGAGAUUGCUUCCUAUAUGUGGCCAUGCUUUUCAUAUGAGCUGUAUCGACACUUGGCUGCAGUCGAAUUCGACUUGCCCUCUCUGCAGGGGGGCAAUUUUGAGCCCCGGAUUCUCAAUCGAGAAUCCAAUUUUUUAUUUCAAUGAUUUUAUGGAAGAAGACAGCGAUGUGAACCGAUUGUCGAAUGGUCAGAUCAGAGUGGAGACAGAAGAAAUGGAGGUAGAAAAGGGAGGAUUUCCAGUCAGGCUUGGUAAAUUCCAGAAAUUGUAUGAAUCUGGAGAGGAAUUAGGGGAAGAAAUCGGGAGCAGUAAAUUGGAUGCAAGAAGGUGUUACUCAAUGGGUUCAUAUCAAUAUGUCAUUGACAAUACUGAUCUGAAAGUGAGUUUAAGCCAAAGUCAAGACCAAGAACUUGCCCAAACGGCCAUGGCUGCAGCAGAUAACAACAUGGAGGGGAAGAAGAUAAGCAUUGGAACAAGGACUGAUAGCUAUUCUGUGUCCAAGAUUUGGCUGUGGUCGAAGAAAGGCAAGUUUGGAAGCUCCUCAGAGGCUUGUGCCUGACAGAGAUGAGAUGCUAAUAUCUGAAAAGGUUUGAGCUAAGUAGAAGGCAGAGUCCAUUGUGAUUCAUCAUCCCUUUUGAGAAUAUUUCCAGAAUUUGAUGGAAUUGAAAGGUGGAUUUCCCUCUCAUUUGAAUCAAGUUUAGGGGUGUUAUGGAUGGGGACAGAUUGAUGAGUGGGAGCCAUGAAAACUGUGAGACAAAGUUUGGUUUCAUGUGAUGUGAUGUGAUGACAGACAGGGGAGGGAGGAGAGGGGCGGAAAGAGUUGAUUCAGUCAUUGCCUUCGCCUUUAUUUACACUGCAACUGGACCAUGCUGUUUUUUUCCUACAUGUGCUCCUUUUGUUUUCAUGCUAAGGGUCACUUUACAGUUGAACCUCUGCGGCGAGAACAUUAAUGUUAGUCCAUGAUGGAGAAAAUAUUAUCCACAUUUCACGCCUAAAACUUGCUUUUACAACAGCAGUAUCGAGAGAGGGACUUCAACACAUAUUCAGCUCUUAUUACAUGUUUGUUGGUAGAACAAAAUAACGAACUAUGAUUGAAAAAUCAUGUAUCCAGGCCAACAGAUUCCAGCCUAUUCCCUAAAGCGAAUGCGCUAAAAUAUGCAAAUUCAGGACGCGGAAAAAACAAAAGCCGAAUAUAUGGAAGAGGCCAAAGAUGUGACCAUCCUUAGCCUCGUCGAAAUAAUGGGAAGAAACCAUACAUAUCCCUAAAGUGGCAGAAUGACGAGCAAAAAAGAAAUUAUAAAGAUAAGUGUCACAUGUGUGGCACAAAGAAAAACUGGUCGCAUGUCUACAGAAUGCCUAAGCAUUUGGCUGAUUUGUACUAGGCUUCGCUGAAAGGAAAAAACACGCCUAUUGACGUAAAUUUCUCUAAACAGAAUAAUUAUGACACAUAUAAUGAUGUCCUGAAAAACACGUCUGUUGACUUAAAUAUCGUUGAACAGAAUAAUGAUGACACAUAUGAGGAUGUCCUAAACAACGAUAUUAUGCAUCUUGAUACAACAGACUUC